GUCCACGCCGUAAACUAUGGGUGCUAGCCGUCGGGAGCUUGCUCCUCGGUGGCGCAGCAAACGCAUUAAGCACCCCGCCUGGGGAGUACGGUCGCAAGAUUAAAACUCAAAGGAAUUGACGGGGCCCGCACAAGCGGUGGAGCAUGUGGUUUAAUCGAGGCAACGCGAAGAACCUUACCAGCCCUUGACUUCCCGAUCGGGGGACCAGAGAUGGACCUCUUCAAUUGGUCGGUGACAGGUGCUGCAUGGCUGUCGU
rnacentral:rRNA from 1 species